rnacentral:lncRNA from 1 species
UAGUGUGAACUGACAUCUGACUUUGAGUAUCCUAUCUCAAAACAAGAUUUAAAGUUGCCUGUGAGUUACCACGCACUUUGAUGUGAUGUUGAGGAACAAUAUGUACGGAUUAGUGCAUUUGCUCAACAAAUGUGGAUUCAGCUCUUGCAACAUCUCAAGUAUGCUUCUAUGCAUUGGGGAACCACAGUGAAUGGACAGAGAAGAUGCCUGCACUUAUGGAACUCCCAGCCUAGCUCACAGCUAAACGUCCUUGAGGUCUAUCCAAGUUGCUGGUGGAUUAAUAGUUAUUCCUCUUGAAUUGCUGAGCAGAAUCCCAGAAGACAAAAGAAACGUGUCUGUGAUCGCACCCAGCAGAACAACCGAGGACCUACUCCCUCACCCUCUGCGCUAUCUCAAAUCUCUACAUACAACAAUAGCAAAACAGACUGCAAAUAUGACCCACUGCUUUUACAAUGUUAAAAUCAACUGAAACGAUAUUCUGACAACAGCUUUUCUCACAGAUUACUAGACAUCUCUGCCAAAGGAAAUUAAAACAUGCCUCCAGAAAAAAAUCAGGACUAAUUCUGAUCUUCUUGAAAGAAACUAUUAUAUAUUAAUAGAGUCAUAUCAUGGGCACAUGGAUAAGUAAUUAUCAUAAUUUUGAGAAAUAUAAAGCCUCUUUUAAAAAAGGUGCACAAAUGAUGUUGGCUUAUCUGACAUAGGAGUCAAUGUGAUGGACUUACAUAAACAGAAGAAAAUCAGUAGUGAUUACCCAGAAGAAAAUAGAAUAUGAUCAUCUUGGGAUUUUCAACAUUUGUCCUGCAUGCUUAUUCCAUCUCAUAUUUUUAUGAUUGAUCCAAGUAAAGAAUGAGUCACUCCAUAGGGGGGCUGAGAACAUGCCAGGUCGAAGAUUUUCCUGUGACAUUAAACAAUAGCUUAGAA